GACGAACCUGACGAACGUUAUUCGGAAUCACUGGGCUUAAAGGGUGCGUAGGCUGUGCAGAAAGUUGGGUGUGAAAUCCCUCGGCUUAACCGAGGAACUGCGCCUAAAACUACUGUGCUUGAGUGAGAUAGAGGUGAGCGGAACUUAGGGUGGAGCGGUGAAAUGCGUUGAUAUCCUAAGGAACACCGGUGGCGAAAGCGGCUCACUGGGUCUCAACUGACGCUGAUGCACGAAAGCUAGGGUAGCGAACGGG
rnacentral:rRNA from 1 species